rnacentral:rRNA from 1 species
GAUCCUGGCUCAGGAUGAACGCUAGCUACAGGCUUAACACAUGCAAGUCGCGGGGAAACGACAUCGAAAGCUUGCUUUUGAUGGGCGUCGACCGGCGCACGGGUGAGUAACGCGUAUCCAACCUGCCCAUCACUUGGGAAUAGCCUUGCGAAAGUAAGACUAAUGCCCAAUGAUAUCCCACGAAGGCAUCCGAAUGGGAUUAAAGAUUUAUCGGUGAUGGAUGGGGAUGCGU